GGGGAUCAGAGCUACACACAGAUUUUCAAUAGCCACAACUUGGUGCCCCCAAAGAUCUUCUGGGAAAGGGAAAGCACAGGCACUACAGCCCCCUGCACAUAAAGUUGCAUGGGGACACUACCAACCUGGGACACAUACAGACACAUUGUGCCACGGGUAAUAGUGGGAAAGGCCAGAGCCCUCAGUGCUCACCUUCAGCUGGAGGAGUUAGUGGAAUCAUAGAAUCACUAAGGUUGGAAAAGGUCACUAAGACCACCUAAGUCCAACCAUCAGCCCAUCCCCACCGUGCCCACUGACCAUGUCCCCAAGUGCCACAGCUACACAGUUCAUGAACAUCUCCAGGGACAGUGAUUCCACCACCUCCCUGGGCAGCCUAUUCCAAAGCCUCACUGCUUUCUCUAGAAGAAAUUUUCCCUAAUACCCAACCUGAACCUCCCCUGGUGCAACUUGAGGCCAUUACUUCUCCUCCAAAAUGAGAGGAGAUCCUUAUUUGCUGCUGGCCACCAUGGUUGCUGCUGAGGCUUUCAGUCCCUGGCAGCAGCGCAUUACAGGGAUGGAGGAGCUCUUUGCUUUUCCCAUACCCUGGCACCUGUCUCCCAGAGUUCCACUUUCCAUGUUGGGAGGUAUGGGAAGGAGCAUGGGAUGGACACAAGAGCUCCGGUCAGCACAAAGUGCCCCCUCCUUCACCAACUCCUUCACAAGAACACUAAGUGCACGGGAGCUGGUGAAUUAUUAAAUCAACCUCACAACAGCUCCAGAGAAACCUCCAGUGCCUCGGAUUCAAAGGGAAGGCUGCGGUGUGAGAAUCCCCAUUAGUAACAAUACGCACAGUUUGCAAGAACAUAUGUCCCCACACGGAGCAAUCAACCAAUCUGGGCUGUUUAACCACAAUAUUUCAAAGAAGUGCUUUUAACGCAGCUGAUCCGUAUGUUUAUUUUUUGAGCUGUAAAACAAGAUUCUUCAGCAGCCUUUCAGAACGUCUCCGUAAUGGACUUUAUCCAAACUAUUGGGAAGAGGGCUUUGCUCCAGCGGAGCGACUGAUACGUUUAUUUCUUUUUAACUCAGAAUCACGGCUGUGGAAGAAAAGCAAAGCCUGGGCAGACAGAAAGUGCAUUUUGCCCUUCAGAAAAAAAAAAAAAAAGAAAAAAAAAAAAGAAAAAAAAAAAAAGAAAAAAAAAAAAGGCAAAGAGGAGCAGGACCCCAUUGGGACAUCCUUUAAAAAGGGUUUUGAUCAGAAGUGUCUGAGAUGAGGGAGGUGGGAACCGGGGGGGGGGGGGGGGGGGGGGGGGGGGGGGGCUGGAGGGGGGAGGGCGAGGAGCUUUCCGAGCAGAAUAUAUGAUCGCACAUUGAAAAUACAUUUCUUUGCACCCUUUUCUCCUGCAAAGAGUGUGGGAGGCGAUCGCGGGUCCGUUGUAUUGAUUGAUUGAUUGUUUUAGGAAUCUUGGAACAGCCACAGCCGUGCCUUCACGGGGACGGGGGAUGUGGGGGCGGGAGGGGAGGGGAGGGGGACACGGUCUGCGCCCCGCGCAGGCGAGAGGCUCCGUGGGUACCCCGGGGUGCCCGAGCCCGCCCCCCCCCCCUCCUCCUACCCCCGGCAACGCAGCGCGGGGAGGGCACCCAUUCGUGCUCUCUGCCUUUCUCCUUUCAACCGCUUUUCCCUAAGAAGGGAUGGAGCGGGGAAAGGAGCGAGGAAGGGAGGGGAGGAGGAGGAGGAGGAGGGCAGCACCGGAGCUCUGCGCCCUCCGCCCGCUCCGCGGCCGCGGGGCUCCGUGCGGUGCGGGGCAGAUGGCCGCGUUCCCCCGGUCCGUGCCAGGUUUCAGCCUCACGCUGUUAUUUUGUUCUUCUGGAACGAGACUGGUGUUGCUUCCCAGAGAGGCCCUAUUAGGACAAAAAGAAAAUCCCGUGAAUAGGCGUAACAGGGCACCAGGAGGGAUCGG
rnacentral:lncRNA from 1 species